rnacentral:rRNA from 1 species
CACACGACUCUCGGCAACGGAUAUCUCGGCUCUCGCAUCGAUGAAGAACGUAGCAAAAUGCGGUACCUGGUGUGAAUUGCAGAAUCCCGCGACCAUCGAGUUUUUGGAUGCAAGUUGCGCCCGAGACCAUCUGGUUGAGGGCAUGUCUGCCUGGGCAUCACGC